UGCCCAAGAUGAACAUGUGGUAUAGACA
rnacentral:piRNA from 1 species